UACGUAGGGUGCAAGCGUUAAUCGGAAUUACUGGGCGUAAAGCGCACGUAGGCGGUUGGUUAAGUUGGAUGUGAAAGCCCCGGGCUCAACCUGGGAAUUGCGAUGGAGACUGCAAGGCUUGAAUCUGGCAGAGGGGGGUAGAAUUCCACGUGUAGCAGUGAAAUGCGUAGAGAUGUGGAGGAACACCAAUGGCGAAGGCAAUCCCCUGGGCCUGUACUGACGCUCAUGCACGAAAGCGUGGGGAGCAAACAGG
rnacentral:rRNA from 1 species